rnacentral:rRNA from 1 species
UACGUAGGGCGCAAGCGUUAUCCGGAAUUAUUGGGCGUAAAGAGCUCGUAGGCGGUUUGUCGCGUCUGCCGUGAAAGUCCGGGGCUCAACUCCGGAUCUGCGGUGGGUACGGGCAGACUAGAGUGAUGUAGGGGAGACUGGAAUUCCUGGUGUAGCGGUGAAAUGCGCAGAUAUCAGGAGGAACACCGAUGGCGAAGGCGGUUCUCUGGGCCUGUACUGACGCUGAGGAGCGAAAGCGUGGGGAGCGAACGGG